GGCGCAUUCUUCUAACGGUUAGGAAAUCAGAUUCUCAAUCUGGGAAUAGCGGUUCGAUUCCGCUAUGCGCUA
rnacentral:tRNA from 1 species